AAGAAUGCGUUGAGGGAGAAUAGUACCUUUUGUUAGCUAUUAGAAGCGAACCUAGGACGGUGAAAGCUAGGCAGUAGAACAAUCGGGAAGGGAACUCCUAAGCAUAUUUAAUAAAGUGGCUUUAUUUAAUAUAAAGCAAGUAGGGUGGAACCGCGGAUUAAAUCCGUCCCUAUG
rnacentral:ncRNA from 1 species